rnacentral:rRNA from 1 species
GACGUAGGGCGCGAGCGUUGUCCGGAUUUAUUGGGCGUAAAGAGCUCGUAGGCGGCUCGUUGCGUCAACCGUGAAAACCCGGGGCUUAACUUCGGGCUUGCGGUUGAUACGGGCGGGCUGGAGUUCGGUAGGGGAGACUGGAAUUCCUGGUGUAGCGGUGAAAUGCGCAGAUAUCAGGAGGAACACCGGUGGCGAAGGCGGGUCUCUGGGCCGAUACUGACGCUGAGGAGUGAAAGCGUGGGGAGCGAACAGG